GACGAACGCUGGCGGCAUGCCUAAUACAUGCAAGUUGAACGAUGAUAUUCUCUGCUUGCAGAGAAUUGAAGAGUAGCGAACGGGUGAGUAACACGUGGGGAACCUGCCCAUGAGAGGGGGAUAACAUUCGGAAACGGAUGCUAAUACCGCAUAAUGCUUUGGACCGCCUGGUCCAGAGACGAAAGACGGCUUUUGCUGUCACUCAUGGAUGGCCCCGCGCCGUAUUAGCUAGUUGGUGAGGUAAUGGCUCACCAAAGCUGUGAUACGUAGCCGACCUGAGAGGGUGAUCGGCCACACUGGGACUGAGACACGGCCCAGACUCCUACGGGAGGCAGCAGUAGGGAAUCUUCCACAAUGGGCGAAAGCCUGAUGGAGCAAUGCCGCGUGAAUGAAGAAGGUCUUCGGAUCGUAAAGUUCUGUUAUUAGAGAAGAACAAGUCAAGGAGUAACUGUCUUGACCUUGACGGUACCUAACCAGAAAGUCACGGCUAACUACGUG
rnacentral:rRNA from 1 species